CCUACGGGAGGCAGCAGUAGGGAAUAUUGGACAAUGGGCGCAAGCCUGAUCCAGCCAUCCCGCGUGAAGGAUUAAGGCCCUCUGGGUUGUAAACUUCUUUUCUCUGGGAAUAAAAACCGGUAUUCAUACUGGCUUGAAGGUACCAGAGGAAUAAGCACCGGCUAACUCCGUGCCAGCAGCCGCGGUAAUACGGAGGGUGCAAGCGUUAUCCGGAUUCACUGGGUUUAAAGGGUGCGUAGGUGGCUUUGUAAGUCAGUGGUGAAAUGCCGCAGCUCAACUGCGGAACUGCCAUUGAUACUGCUUAGCUUGAAUCACGUCGAGGUGGAUGGAAUAAUACAUGUAGCGGUGAAAUGCUUAGAUAUGUAUUAGAACACCGAUUGCGAAGGCAGUUCACUAGGCGUGUAUUGACACUGAGGCACGAAAGCGUGGGGAUCAAACAGGAUUAGAUACCCUGGUAGUCCACGCCCUAAACGAUGUAAACUCGACAUUAGCGAUAUACUGUUAGUGUCCAAGCGAAAGCGUUAAGUUUACCACCUGGGAAGUACGAACCGCAAGGUUGAAACUCAAANAGAGUUGNGCGNGAGAGNGCGAGACGACGACGAGGAGGAGG
rnacentral:rRNA from 1 species